CCCUCCCUCUUCCUUCUCUCUCCUCUCCCCUAUCGCUUAAGGUUCUGAAAGCACCGUCUACGACGUGAGGCUCGAUGGCCGGAGAGUCACCAUUAAAAAACCUGUCUUUUCCUCUUCAGACGACCUCGACAAGUUCCACAUAGAACUUCAACUGUGGUGAAUCAAGGUUUUGAUGUGUCACUGUCAGAUGCCAGUAGUGUUUUUGAUUCCAUAAAGUCGCUUAGUCAAAGUGAUGGAAGAUGGCGAUAUGAUUCUAGCAGUGCUGAAUCCAGCACUUAUGUUGCUGGGACAACACUUGAAACACUUG